UUAGCCAGCCUGAGCCUCAGUGAUCACCCCUGGAAGAUGGGCCCAGCAGCCUUGGGCACAUUGUGAGGGCCUGAGGGGCCUGGGUAGAAAACUGCCCAGAGACCAGGCCCUGCCUCCCACCCGCCUGGCUUCCUACCCUGAGGGGCUGCCUGCAGCUACACGGCUGCUGCACGUCCCUGGGCAGACGGUACUGAGCCCCCAGCUUUGGGACAGGCUCGGUUUGUCCUUUCCCUCUGCCCAGCUCUGAUACCUGUGACCACUGCGUGAUCCCCGGGGUGUCUCUUCCCCCAGCCCACGCCGCUCCCUUUCUGGGUCUUUUUCGGGGUCUCCAUCUCUGAUCUAAUGUCGUCUCUCUGUCUCCCUUGGUUUGUCCCUCUUGGUCUCGGCAUCUCCCUCUGACUUUAUCUCUUGGUCUCUGUGUUUCUCUGAGUCCCUCCCAUCCCUGUCCAGAGACACAUGGGCUGGCGGUCACCACCUCACAUCUGAGCAGCAGCCAUGGGCCCAGAGUGUGCCCGCCCCCACCCCAGGGUCUCCUCGCAGCCCAGGACGGGGUGAGGCAGCCAAGAACAAAGGCACAGGGCAGGGCAGCUGCCUGCCCAGGGCCACACAGCAGAGAGGACUUGGAGCCAGGAAGGGCCCAUUGGCUCAGAUGGGGCCACCCACAGAGGAGCCAGGAGUGGAUGGAGAGGCCAAAGACUGAGCUGGCAGCCUGGGCCUGGCCUGCCCCAACUUGUGUCUAACCCCAGGCAGGUGCCUUCCCUCUGGGCCCAUUUCCCCAUUGGAGCUCUGAGGCUUGCUGUUCCCUCAGGGCCUUUACCAUUGCUGUUCCCUCUGCCUGGGAUGCUCUUCCCCAGAUCCACAGUGGCUGACUCAUCCCUGCAUUAAGCUGCAGCUGAAAUGCCACCAUCCCCAGAGAAGCCCUCCCUGAGACCCCAGCAGAGGUAGCAACUACCACUCUCCACCCUGGGACUCAGCCGCACUCUCAUUGCCGUGCUUGUCACUGGCUGACUUCUCUUAUUCAUUUAUAAAUGACUAUAGGUAGGAUCACCUGGUCGUUAAGAAAGUCACCACACACCAGCUGUGCAAUCUUGGGCAAGUUACUUCACCUCUCUGGGCCUUUAUUUCCUCAACAGUAAAAUGAACAUAAAAUCAUCAAAGCCUAUCUUAGGAUGUUAUUGGAAAGAUCAAAUGAACCGAAAUGAGCCAAACCGAAAGUGCAGAUGCUCCUCAAUUAUAAUGGGAUCAUGUCCCCGUAAACCCAUCAUAAAUCAAAAAUAUAGGCCCAGGCCUGGAAGGAGAGGCACUGAGCCAGAUGCAGCUCACCCGGCAGCCCACGGAACCCAAGGCCUGGCCCGCCUUCCACAAGAUAAAAUGGAGACACUUCUCCCGUCCUGUUAUCUGAGCCGGAGAUGCGGCCAAAGCGGCCAUCCCUUCAGAGCCCUUCCAAGGCUGUUAUCGCAGACAGAGCACGCAUCACCCACCAGGAAUUUGGGGCCCAGUGCCUGGCUGAGACAUGGUUGGAGGAAGUUUCAGGCUGAUAAGGUCUAGACAGAAUGAUCACAGUGGGCAGCAAAGUUAUUUACAUCAGUGACAGUCUCACUAGCUCCCUGGGCACUGAGGCGCCAGGGCCAGCAGGCAUGAGGCUCACUUGUCCCACCUGUGCAGCCUGGAUUGGGAAGAGAAGGCUUGCUGAGCUUCCUGGAUCUGCAUCCUCACUGGGUAGCCUUGGGAAGGCCGCCUGCGCCUCUCUGAGCCUCAGUUCUGACAUCUGGAAAAUGAGAGUAACAAUAAUAAUAACUCCAUGCAAUAAUAUAGGUUUAGGAGCCUGGGCUCUGGGACCCAAUGGCUCUGAUUUAAAUCCACGUUCUCCCUGUAUGACCUUCAGCAGGUCGCUUCACCCCUCUGGCCUCCGUGUCCUAGCCUAUAAAGUAGUGCUUGCCUUACAGGAUUGUUUUGAAGUUAAGAUGCUUACAUCAGUGUCUGGUAUAUCAUAAGUCCUCCAUUAAAUGUUUGUUGUUAAUUACAAACAACAUAAACUAA